rnacentral:rRNA from 1 species
UAGGGAAUCUUGCGCAAUGGCCUAACGGCUGACGCAGCGACGCCGCGUGUGGGAUGAAGCUCCUCGGAGUGUAAACCCCUGUUGCCCGGGCGAACAUCCCUUUUCGAGGGACUGACGGUACCGGGUGAGGAAGCACCGGCUAACUCCGUGCCAGCAGCCGCGGUAAUACGGAGGGUGCGAGCGUUGUCCGGAAUCAUUGGGCGUAAAGGGCGCGUAGGUGGCCCGGUCAGUCUUUGGUGAAAGCGCGGGCUCAACCCUGCGUCGGCCAGGGAUACUGCCGCGGCUCGAGCACUGUAGAGGCAGGCGGAAUUCCGGGUGUAGCGGUGGAAUGCGUAGAGAUCCGGAAGAACACCGGUGGCGAAGGCGGCCUGCUGGGCAGUUUGGCUGACACUGAGGCGCGACAGCGUGGGGAGCAAACA